GGGGCGGGACGGACGGGGGGUUUCUACGGGAGGUAGGAAACGGGCGGCUUGCAAGGCGCGGGCUUAGGCCGGAGCCUGGUGGUGCGAGGUCCCCAGCUCGGAUUUCUCCCUGGUGGAGAGUCCCGGAGCAGAACAAACCAGCAGAGGCUCUGGAAAGGGUCCUCCUGAGCACGUGGCUCAUUCAUUCAUUCGACAAACGUUACCUGAGCGCCUGCCCACUCAUUGCCCGAGUGUGCUGGGAGCGCCGCACCAACUGCCUGGUAGGUGGGAGAAGGGACACGUCAGGUAACAAACAGCACAGGUAAGUGCCGGCCACUCAAAUGGGGUGGAAAGAGGUGGCACAGCGCUGCCGAGGGAGUGCGUUCCAGACAGGUGACCUCUUGCUUGGGUGCUGAAUGAGUGGAGUUUUCCAGAGAGACCAAGAGGAAGCAGCCGCAGAAACCUCAGCCCAGCUGGGCUUGCAGAAGCUAAUGCUAGAAUAGUUGUGGGACUCAGGAUCUGCUGAAGUCGGGGGAAGAGAGAAGUAGGGAAAGGAAAGCCCAGGCCACGCGUGGGGCUCAGGAACGGCAUCCUCGCCCGAGAAAAGAGAGGUUAAAACCAAGACAUGGACAAAGCCUCCGAAUGAAGGCAGCCCUUUAAAUGGAAUAAAUUUGGUUUCAUGGCACAUUAAUGGGGUGUCUUCUCUCCGAAGACACAGAGACAACUACAGUAGGUCUGGGGGCCGUCAGGGAUUGGAGGAACGAAGGUAAGAAAAGGAAGAAGGUAAGAAAAAGAGGUCCCUACCUCUGUGAGGUAGGGACAGUGCUGAACAGCAGGGCUGGGAGAGCCCACAGGGAGGUGGCCAGGAUGGCCACAGGGCCUGGGGAGGACCAGGUGGGGCACCAUCCUGCGGUAGAGAAUGCCCGUCACCUGCCCUAGGGGCCACCCAGAAUGCAGAUUAAAUAAGUAUUUGGGAAUGGCACAGGAGCUUUUCCAUUUUCGUGGGUUAGAGGAAAGCUGCUGCGUUCAAGAGGAUAACGUGGGACCUGAGCAUUCUGGUAAGUCAACCCCACAUUCAUGGAAAGCCACGGGCUCUGUUUUACUGAUAAGGAACUGAAGUCCCACAGAGGAAGUGGCCAGGCUCACUCACACACAGCAUGCACUUGAAGCUUUCUGUGGAAAUCAGAAACCUCCGGGGCUCAGGCGCUGUAGUGGUGGCCUGGUGACUCUGACCCCUUGAAGGAGAAGCAUCUGUGAAGGUGCUGUCCAGGACAAGUAGGGUGCUCUACGGUAAAGGACAUGGUGGCCUGACCUGCUCCAGAGCAGGGAGGCCUCCCUUGAGGAAAUAAGAUAAACCCAGACUUUAAGGAUAAGCAGAAACCAGCUAGGUGAACUGGAGUGGGAACAGCACGUGAAAAGGCCCUGGUUUAGGAAGGAGCACCACUCCUUCAGAGCACAGAAAGGCCAGGAUGGCCGAAGCAUAGGGAACAACAGGAAAGUGACAUAAAUUGAGGCUGCAGAGGUAGAAGAAGGGCCUUAUUGGUCGUGCUAGGAAUUUGGAAUUCUGCAAAGAAGCCUGGGAAACAGAUUUUGGUGACACUCGCCUUCUCUUUAAUGUGCAGUUUCA
rnacentral:lncRNA from 1 species